AGAGAGAGAGAGACUUAGGAAAACAUCUAACAGCCCAAAUCGAGAGUUGGUUUUGUCUGAUAAGCGCUUCAUGAAUAAGAAUGCAAUAAUUCACAGGCAAGAGGUGAACUUGUGAGGAUUUAUGAGGAGCAUUUCCUUAAGUGUCACAGUGUUGUGUUGCAACGUUCUUGGGAAUUUAAACACCCAUCACUGGCAAAGUGGCAUGCAGUUGGGCCACUUGAUUGCGGUGUACAUCCAGUGUGACAUGAAUCUCUCAACAGCCCUUUGGUGCAG